CCGUGCUAGAUGGGGAGGUAGCGGUGCCCUGUUACCCGCAACCCGCUGUAGCGGGGUUGAAUUCCCAUCCGAGGUAUUGUGCCUUUUCCGAGAAAUAUAAAUAAGUGGCGCUGAACGCCAGAUCUUGCGCGACGUAACAUUACGAACCAGGUCAGGACCGGGAGGUAGCAGCCUUAAGUAACCCGUUACGGGUGCCGCAAGGCAAUCUGGUGGGAGCUAACUGGUAUAUUUUUCUUUAAAGAUAGAUAUCGAAGAUGGGUGCACGG
rnacentral:SRP_RNA from 1 species